rfam:Dipodomys ordii contig_82928, whole genome shotgun sequence.
GGGAAAGUGGCUCAGUGGUAGAGUGCUUGCCUUGCAUGCAUGAGGCCCUGGGUGCGAUUCCUCAGCACCA